rnacentral:rRNA from 1 species
UGUCCUUAGUUGCCAGCAUGUAAAGAUGGGAACUCUAAGGAGACUGCCGUAGAUAAUACGGAGGAAGGUGGGGAUGACGUCAAAUCAUCAUGCCCUCUAUGUCCUGGGCUACACACGUACUACAAUGGCUGUAACAGAGGGAAGCGAAGCAGUGAUGUGAAGCAAAACCCAAAAAGCAGUCACAGUUCGGAUUGAAGGCUGAAAUUCGCCUUCAUGAAGCCGGAAUUGCUAGUAAUGGCAGGUCAGCAUACUGCCGUGAAUACGUUCCCGGGCCUUGUACACACCGCCCGUCACACCAUGAGAGUUGGGGAUACCCGAAGCCUGUGAGCCAAC